rnacentral:lncRNA from 1 species
AGGAAAAUGAAGCCCAGAGAAUAUAUAUAGAUGACUAGCUCCCCUGCUAAGACUUCAAGUGUCUUGCCUCUAAAUCCAAUGCUCUAUGUUCUUACCUCUGCAUGAUAAUAUAGAGGGUCAUUAGCAAUAGGAAGCAAUUAAAGGUUGCUGUUGCCUCUGGUUAAACCUAGGAAGAAACUUAUACUGUUCUACUCAUUGAAUUAUUCAUAUUCUUAGAUAUCACAAUUAAAAAAGAACCAGUAGAAGAAUUAGUAGAAGAGGAGAUCAGCAGUGGCAAACCUGCAAUGGGAAAAGCUCCAAUGCAGUUUUCCUGGUUUUGCAAUGUCCAAGGAUACAAUUGGAGGAACUUCUUUUGUUUUAAAAAACAUGAUAAACAAGUAAAGAAUGUGCGCAAGCAGGAAGAAACUGACCUAAAGGUAAAUUUUCAUUAUGUGAAAUUUGUCAUAAAGAUUUAUGUGCGUAUCUCCAUUUUAAUUACUAGGGAAUGAGCUUUUAACAUAAUCUCUAAGACCCUUUCGCAGUUUUCACUGUCAAGGGUUAUAUUAACAUAGGCCAAUCUAAGCUUUUAAAUAUUGUCUCUCUUGAUCUCUAGCUAUUUGAUGACGCCUCUGCUUCUUUUAUACCCCAAAGCUGCUGGUGUCUGACUGGACAGAAACUCAAGUUGGCCAUUGGUUAAAGAGUAUUGGAAUGAAAAAAUAUAUCCUGAAAUUUGAUUAUAAAAGAAUAAGAGGUCAAGAACUUCUUGAAUUAGACAAUGAUGCAUUAAAAGUAAGCUUCAGAAUUGGCUCUUUAUAUAUGCUACAUACAAUUAUAUAUUAACUUCUUUUAUGGUGGGCAUUGGAUGAAAAACAGUACAAAUAAUGGGAUUCCUAUAUAUGGCCCAUUUGACAACCUUAUGGUUUUAAGGAAAACAUGUUAACUACCUUUUUGAAUGUAGUUUCAAGAAAUGUUUUUUAAUGUGAUUUGCUCCCCCUUUUUUUAGUAUUCAGGCCAUAUUCCUUUUCAUUUCUAUUUAUUUAUUGAAACCUUAUACCUUCCAUCUUAGAAUAUAUAACAUGUAAGUUUCCAAAGAAAAAGAAUUUUAAGGGGUGGGCAAUGUGAGGCAAGUGACUGUCUCAGCAUCAUACUUCUAGGGGGUCACAUUUGAAACCAGGUCCUCUUUUCUCUAGGUCUGGUUCUCAAUCUAUUGAGCCACCAUUCUUUUUUUUUCUUUUUUUAGAAUUCUAUCUAUUAACAAACACUGGAAAGCAGAAAAGCAAUAUUUUAAUUUUCUACCAGGCAGAUUAACUUCACUGAAACAGAUUAAAAAACAGUAAUCAUGGGAAAUGGCAAGCUUUCAUUUCAUUUAUAGUAAAUAAAAUAUCAAUAUUUUAAGCUUUAAAUAGCA